CAGUAGCCGCGGUAAUACGGAGGGUGCAAGCGUUAAUCGGAAUUACUGGGCGUAAAGCGCACGCAGGCGGUUUGUUAAGUCAGAUGUGAAAUCCCCGGGCUCAACCUGGGAACUGCAUUUGAAACUGGCAAGCUAGAGUCUCGUAGAGGGGGGUAGAAUUCCAGGUGUAGCGGUGAAAUGCGUAGAGAUCUGGAGGAAUACCGGUGGCGAAGGCGGCCCCCUGGACGAAGACUGACGCUCAGGUGCGAAAGCGUGGGGAGCAAACAGGAUUAGAUACCCGUGUAGUCCCUGUCUCUUAUAC
rnacentral:rRNA from 1 species